rnacentral:rRNA from 1 species
GGUUAAGCGACUAAGCGUACACGGUGGAUGCCCUGGCAGUCAGAGGCGAUGAAGGACGUGCUAAUCUGCGAAAAGCGUCGGUAAGGUGAUAUGAACCGUUAUAACCGGCGAUGUCCGAAUGGGGAAACCCAGUGCAAUUCGUUGCACUAUCGUUAACUGAAUACAUAGGUUAACGAGGCGAACCGGGGGAACUGAAACAUCUAAGUACCCCGAGGAAAAGAAAUCAACCGAGAUUCCCCCAGUAGCGGCGAGCGAACGGGGAGCAGCCCAGAGUCUGAAUCAGCUUGUGUGUUAGUGGAACGGUCUGGAAAGUCCGACGGUACAGGGUGAUAGUCCCGUACACCAAAAUGCACAGGCUGUGAACUCGAAGAGUAGGGCGGGACACGUGGUAUCCUGUCUGAAUAUGGGGGGACCAUCCUCCAAGGCUAAAUACUCCUGACUGACCGAUAGUGAACCAGUACCGUGAGGGAAAGGCGAAAAGAACCCCGGCGAGGGGAGUGAAAAAGAACCUGAAACCGUGUACGUACAAGCAGUGGGAGCACCUUCGGGUGUGACUGCGUACCUUUUGUAUAAUGGGUCAGCGACUUAUAUUCUGUAGCAAGGUUAACCGUAUAGGGGAGCCGCAGGGAAACCGAGUCUUAACUGGGCGUUAAGUUGCAGGGUAUAGACCCGAAACCCGGUGAUCUAGCCAUGGGCAGGUUGAAGGUUGGGUAACACUAACUGGAGGACCGAACCGACUAAUGUUGAAAAAUUAGCGGAUGACUUGUGGCUGGGGGUGAAAGGCCAAUCAAACCGGGAGAUAGCUGGUUCUCCCCGAAAGCUAUUUAGGUAGCGCCUCGUGAAUUCAUCUUCGGGGGUAGAGCACUGUUUCGGCUAGGGGGUCAUCCCGACUUACCAACCCGAUGCAAACUACGAAUACCGAAGAAUGUUAUCACGGGAGACACACGGCGGGUGCUAACGUCCGUCGUGAAGAGGGAAACAACCCAGACCGCCAGCUAAGGUCCCAAAGUCAUGGUUAAGUGGGAAACGAUGUGGGAAGGCACAGACAGCCAGGAUGUUGGCUUAGAAGCAGCCAUCAUUUAAAGAAAGCGUAAUAGCUCACUGGUCGAGUCGGCCUGCGCGGAAGAUGUAACGGGGCUAAACCAUGCACCGAAGCUGCGGCAGCGACACUAUGUGUUGUUGGGUAGGGGAGCGUUCUGUAAGCCUGCGAAGGUGUGCUGUGAGGCAUGCUGGAGGUAUCAGAAGUGCGAAUGCUGACAUAAGUAACGAUAAAGCGGGUGAAAAGCCCGCUCGCCGGAAGACCAAGGGUUCCUGUCCAACGUUAAUCGGGGCAGGGUGAGUCGACCCCUAAGGCGAGGCCGAAAGGCGUAGUCGAUGGGAAACAGGUUAAUAUUCCUGUACUUGGUGUUACUGCGAAGGGGGGACGGAGAAGGCUAUGUUAGCCGGGCGACGGUUGUCCCGGUUUAAGCAUGUAGGCUGGUUAUCCAGGCAAAUCCGGAUAAUCAAGGCUGAGGUGUGAUGACGAGGCACUACGGUGCUGAAGUAACAAAUGCCCUGCUUCCAGGAAAAGCCUCUAAGCAUCAGGUAACAUCAAAUCGUACCCCAAACCGACACAGGUGGUCAGGUAGAGAAUACCAAGGCGCUUGAGAGAACUCGGGUGAAGGAACUAGGCAAAAUGGUGCCGUAACUUCGGGAGAAGGCACGCUGGUGUGUAGGUGAAGCCCCUGCGGGUGGAGCUGAGACCAGUCGAAGAUACCAGCUGGCUGCAACUGUUUAUUAAAAACACAGCACUGUGCAAACACGAAAGUGGACGUAUACGGUGUGACGCCUGCCCGGUGCCGGAAGGUUAAUUGAUGGGGUUAUCCGUAAGGAGAAGCUCUUGAUCGAAGCCCCGGUAAACGGCGGCCGUAACUAUAACGGUCCUAAGGUAGCGAAAUUCCUUGUCGGGUAAGUUCCGACCUGCACGAAUGGCGUAAUGAUGGCCAGGCUGUCUCCACCCGAGACUCAGUGAAAUUGAACUCGCUGUGAAGAUGCAGUGUACCCGCGGCAAGACGGAAAGACCCCGUGAACCUUUACUAUAGCUUGACACUGAACAUUGAGCCUUGAUGUGUAGGAUAGGUGGGAGGCUUUGAAGCGUGGACGCCAGUCUGCGUGGAGCCAACCUUGAAAUACCACCCUUUAAUGUUUGAUGUUCUAACGUUGGCCCCUGACCGGGGUUGCGGACAGUGUCUGGUGGGUAGUUUGACUGGGGCGGUCUCCUCCCAAAGCGUAACGGAGGAGCACGAAGGUUAGCUAAUCCUGGUCGGACAUCAGGAGGUUAGUGCAAUGGCAUAAGCUAGCUUGACUGCGAGCGUGACGGCGCGAGCAGGUGCGAAAGCAGGUCAUAGUGAUCCGGUGGUUCUGAAUGGAAGGGCCAUCGCUCAACGGAUAAAAGGUACUCCGGGGAUAACAGGCUGAUACCGCCCAAGAGUUCAUAUCGACGGCGGUGUUUGGCACCUCGAUGUCGGCUCAUCACAUCCUGGGGCUGAAGUAGGUCCCAAGGGUAUGGCUGUUCGCCAUUUAAAGUGGUACGCGAGCUGGGUUUAGAACGUCGUGAGACAGUUCGGUCCCUAUCUGCCGUGGGCGCUGGAGAAUUGAGGGGGGCUGCUCCUAGUACGAGAGGACCGGAGUGGACGCAUCACUGGUGUUCGGGUUGUCAUGCCAAUGGCACUGCCCGGUAGCUAAAUGCGGAAGAGAUAAGUGCUGAAAGCAUCUAAGCACGAAACUUGCCCCGAGAUGAGUUCUCCCUGAGACUUUAAGUCUCCUGAAGGAACGUU